rnacentral:rRNA from 1 species
AACGAACGCUGGCGGCAGGCCUAACACAUGCAAGUCGAGCGAGAUCUUCGGGUCUAGCGGCGGACGGGUGAGUAACGCGUGGGAAUAUGCCCUUCUCUGCGGAAUAGCCUCGGGAAACUGAGCGUAAUACCGCAUACGCCCUUUGGGGGAAAGAUUUAUCGGAGAAGGAUUAGCCCGCGUUGGAUUAGGUAGUUGGUGGGGUAACGGCCUACCAAGCCGACGAACCAUAGCUGGUUUGAGAGGAUGAUCAGCCACACUGGGACUGAGACACGGCCCAGACUCCUACGGGAGGCAGCAGUGGGGAAUCUUAGACAAUGGGGGCAACCCUGAUCUAGCCAUGCCGCGUGAGUGAUGAAGGCCUUAGGGUUGUAAAGCUCUUUCAGCUGGGAAGAUAAUGACGGUACCAGCAGAAGAAGCCCCGGCUAACUCCGUG